AGAGUUUGAUCAUGGCUCAGGACGAACGCUGGCGGCGUGCUUAACACAUGCAAGUCGAACGGAAAGGCCCUUCGGGGUACUCGAGUGGCGAACGGGUGAGUAACACGUGGGUGAUCUGCCCUGCACUUUGGGAUAAGCCUGGGAAACUGGGUCUAAUACCGAAUAUGACCAUGCGCCUCCUGGUGUGUGGUGGAAAGCUUUUGCGGUGUGGGAUGGGCCCGCGGCCUAUCAGCUUGUUGGUGGGGUAAUGGCCUACCAAGGCGACGACGGGUAGCCGGCCUGAGAGGGUGACCGGCCACACUGGGACUGAGAUACGGCCCAGACUCCUACGGGAGGCAGCAGUGGGGAAUAUUGCACAAUGGGCGCAAGCCUGAUGCAGCGACGCCGCGUGAGGGAUGACGGCCUUCGGGUUGUAAACCUCUUUCAGCACAGACGAAGCGCAAGUGACGGUAUGUGCAGAAGAAGGACCGGCCAACUACGUGCCAGCAGCCGCGGUAAUACGUAGGGUCCGAGCGUUGUCCGGAAUUACUGGGCGUAAAGAGCUCGUAGGUGGUUUGUCGCGUUGUUCGUGAAAACUCACAGCUUAACUGUGGGCGUGCGGGCGAUACGGGCAGACUUGAGUACUGCAGGGGAGACUGGAAUUCCUGGUGUAGCGGUGGGAUGCGCAGAUAUCAGGAGGAACACCGGUGGCGAAGGCGGGUCUCUGGGCAGUAACUGACGCUGAGGAGCGAAAGCGUGGGGAGCGAACAGGAUUAGAUACCCUGGUAGUCC
rnacentral:rRNA from 1 species